rnacentral:pre_miRNA from 1 species
AAGUGUGUAGAUGGUGUUCAGCACCAGGCACAGACAUGUUACAAGUGUGUAGAUGGUGUUCAGCACCAGGGACAGGCAUGCUUCCCU